GACGAACGCUGGCGGCGUGCCUAAUACAUGCAAGUAGAACGCUGAAGGAAGGAGCUUGCUCUUUCUGGAUGAGUUGCGAACGGGUGAGUAACGCGUAGGUAACCUGCCUGGUAGCGGGGGAUAACUAUUGGAAACGAUAGCUAAUACCGCAUAAAAUUGAUUAUUGCAUGAUAGUCAAUUAAAAGGUGCAACUGCACCACUACCAGAUGGACCUGCGUUGUAUUAGCUAGUUGGUGGGGUAACGGCUCACCAAGGCGGCGAUACAUAGCCGACCUGAGAGGGUGAUCGGCCACACUGGGACUGAGACACGCCCCAGUCUCCUACGGGAGGCAGCAGUAGGGAAUCUUCGGCAAUGGACGGAAGUCUGACCGAGCAACGCCGCGUGAGUGAAGAAGGUUUUCGGAUCGUAAAGCUCUGUUGUCAGAGAAGAACGAGUGUGAGAGUGGAAAGUUCACACUGUGACGGUAUCUUACCAGAAAGGGACGGCUAACUACGUG
rnacentral:rRNA from 1 species